rnacentral:lncRNA from 1 species
UUUCACACAACUGGAAUGCUGCAAUCAUGAAUACACACUUUCUGAGAAGAACAUUCCAGGAUGGAGACUUCGAUCACCUCAGUACCUGUGGAAGGAACAAACCGAUAGGACAUAAGCAAUCCAAGAUGUUCCUGAAGAAGAAACAGAUAUGAACUUCAAAAACCUGGAAGAACUCUCGUGUUGGCACACUGGUCUCCAUGGUAGACUUAACCACACCAGUAUCUUCAGAAGGAAUAAAAAAGUAGGACACGAG